GCCCGUUUAGCUCAGUUGGUUAGAGCGUGGUGCUAAUAACGCCAAGGUCACAGGUUCGACCCCUGUAAUGGGCA